rnacentral:snRNA from 1 species
AGGUUUGUGACAGUUCAGGGUCAGUCUUCCAUGGGAGACCUCUACCACAGAGGCACCGCUCUAUGUGCAUCCCUCCCUGAGCUGCGUGCUCGCUCAAAUUGGACAACCUUCCCCAGUAGAGGUGUAUCAUUCAUCAGCCGAGGAAGCACAGUUGUUGCGCUCCCCUGCUAGAACCCCCAAAGAAGCUCAAGGUCCCUUUUUAGGAGAAGUUAGGGUAGUGAAGCUUCCAAAACUGCAGACACAUCCAAGUGAGGCAGUGCAUGGGGUAGGGUGUGUAUUGGU